AUCUGUAUCAGUAUCAUGCAGUCUCAUGCCCUGAAUGGAGAGAAGCACCACUGCAGCCUUAAACUACCACGUGAGAUUCCGAGGUCAAAGGAAUGUGAUGCGUUUGUACCUUCGCGUUGAGCGUCCCGCCCUGUCAGAAAGCCCAGAUAAGAUACAUUUAUUUUACCUCUUGCUUACAUUUGUGCCUGACAGUGUCUGCAUUUGCAUGAGAAAUACAGAACCUAUCUAAAACUCGAAAUUUGAAGGUAUUAAUUUUGGAAGCGCGAAUGCUUAGACAAAGUGCCAAAAAUAUACGCUCGCUAAGAUAUGAUUUCCUUCCUAAUAUAAAAGUUGAUGUCUGUAUUUCUCCACAUUCUUGCCAAAGCAUGGGUAACACCCCGUUGCAACUGAGCCUAACCACACCCUUCCCCCUGCUUAUCAAAACUGAUGAGCCCUCCUCCUCCCCAGUUUGCCAUUUACUGGCCGCCAUCUUUACUCUUAUGCGCUCUGCCUAGCAACAGGCGCUGGGCGCCAUUUUUUGACGGGUACGUAGCAACCAAUUCCAUGUUACUAUAUCCAUUUAACCUUGGAAUCCAUCCAAUCACCGUGUUUUUUUUCCUUCUGCCUUUCUGAAUCCUCUGCAAUGUUAUACCUGUACUCGCUCUCCCACCGUGCGUUGGGCAGGGCGGGGGGUGGGGGCGCUUCGUCACACCCAGGCUUUGGUUUGAUGCAUCAUCGUAACCAUGUAUGACAUCUUGUGUAACUUACACUGUGCCACUCCCACAACGCCCUACCCCCGUGCUUCUCCGUGGAAUGUUUAGGUGCUCCGAGGUCGUGUCAGCGUUUUGACGGCGACACUUGUGCGGGCAGACGAGAGCAAGUGGGAUUUUAAUUGGAUCUAAAGGUUCUGGUUCCCAACGCCCUCCUCCAGGUCUAGCCAGCGGUGGUGGUGCCGGCUGGUCGGCCAGUGCCACACCCAGUUGUGCUUUCUUUUCAAUCACCCGGUUCUUUGUCCACUCCUUUUUUUUUCCAGGUCUCCUUGUUCCUGUCUUUCAUCUGUCUCUAGUCCUGCAGUUUCUGGCUUCCCCCCCUAUGGCUUCUCCAAGAUGGCCCCCUAAUCUCAGCCUUCUUACCAGUGGGGUUCUUGGUAGGGAGACUCUCCUCUGGAGUUGGGACUCACCUGACCACGCCUUGAUGUGGGAUCCACGAUCGGUUUCCGAGUCAACCGACAAUACGCACAGCGCCAUAUUAACCCUUGGACCUGUGCUCAACAGAGUGUAAACAAAGUUCCUACAAAGUGUGUAAUCAGCAGAUGUCUCCAUGGGGCGGCCCAACGCCACUUGGGCAUACCCUGCCUCUCCCCCUCCUCGCCAGGUCCAUUUUGGCUUUUUUUCUCUCUUUUUUUUAUUGUAUGUUUAUUCUUUCAAGCCGAGCAGCUAUGUUGAUUAGGCUCUUAAUGUGCCCCCAGGUUGUGAAUUCUGCUUUGCUCAGCCAAUGUGCAUCCAUAUGCCCAAAAGGAAUGCUCAAGUCCUCUUAGCAUAGGACACCCUAUCAUGCUAUACUGAUUUAAGCGAACAGAUGUUAAAUAAUUCAACAGUAAUUUUGACCUUUAUGAAGCGGAAGACACGGCAGUGGAAGGUCAAAGAACUCAAAGAAAUCGCCGGCCCUUGUUCAGUUCAAUAAUAAUUGGUUUUGCAAAUAUAUUUAUUUUUCCCGAAAUGUCUUUGUCCAAUCCAAAUUUUCCACAGAAUUCCAAGAAUAUGAUACGCAAUCCACAUCAAGCAUAACUCAAACUGAAAAAAGAACAGUUUCAUAAUGAUACGAGAUAAAAGGAUACAAGAUAAUUCAGUAACUAGGUAAUACCAUGAUCGAUAUCAAUAUUACAUGCAGUAGGAUUGUUUGGUAUGAGUGUCGACCCGGUCAACGUCCGAACAAUCUACCAUGCUUUGUAUGUUUUAAGGUAAACUACAACCUUAGAUUUUUUUAACAAUUACAAUACAAACAAUAAAAUAAAUAUAAUUUGACACUGGAUGCGUUUCAUUGACACCGCCUGUUCGCCUUCUUCUACUGAGAUACAAACAGUUAUUUUCAUCCAUAACAUGAUGAAAACAUUAAACAAGCAAAGUAACAAACAGAAAUGAUUAAUUAAUGCUGCGUAUUCAUUACAGAAAUGAGACUGUACACAUCAUUUGGAAAAACAUUAUCGUAUUUUAUCUGGGGUCAUAAAAGUCAUGGUAACUAUUGUUAUUUUAUACAAUAGCCUCGUGAAAGUACAGACAUGUACAUGCCAUUACAUUUAAUGUAAUGUUUGAUGGUGAUGACUAGCAAUUUAUUUUUUAUUGUAUAAUUGGCAAACAUAAUUUUUAUGUAGUGCAUGCAUAAAUCUAAACAGUGUGUGCGUGUGUGUGUCCGUUUAUGUGUGCGUGUUUUAUGUGUGUAUUGGCUAUGUAUGUAUUAAUGUGCGCUAACGUAUAUGUGAGUAUGUAUGUGUUUGGUGUUUCUGUUUGGUGCGAGUGUGUGUUGGUUUAUGUGUGUGUUCGCCUGUGUGUAUCUGUGUGUAUUGUGCAGUUGAUGAUAUUUGACUUGUGCACUCUGCAAGCAUUUUUCCUCCCCG